UUGCUGUGAUGACUACUUAGGACACCUUUGGAUUAACCAAUGAAAACACUCGAAAGCUCUGAGCAAC
rnacentral:snoRNA from 1 species